rnacentral:lncRNA from 1 species
AUUUUACAAGUUGUGAUCACAGACACAUAUAUCAAGGAUAAUUCAGGUCGCAAAUCACAUGUAUGUGAGCACAUAGCUAGCAUGAAUAGUUCUUUGUUUCAAGGUUGGCUCAUAGCCCAAGUAAAUCAAUACAUAACUAUACUUUUUUAUCAUUCUAUAAUUAUCAAGAUAGGUACAUAAUUCAUAUUGAGGCACAUCAUUCACGAAUCUGUAUAGAUAUAAGCAAAUCAAUUAAUGCGUAAUAAUAAUCAAUACACAAG